rnacentral:rRNA from 1 species
UACGAAGGGGGCUAGCGUUGCUCGGAAUCACUGGGCGUAAGGGGUGCGUAGGCGGGUCUUUAAGUCAGGGGUGAAAUCCUGGAGCUCAACUCCAGAACUGCCUUUGAUACUGAAGAUCUUGAGUUCGGGAGAGGUGAGUGGAACUGCGAGUGUAGAGGUGAAAUUCGUAGAUAUUCGCAAGAACACCAGUGGCGAAGGCGGCUCACUGGCCCGAUACUGACGCUGAUGCACGAAAGCGUGGGGAGCAAACAGG